rnacentral:lncRNA from 1 species
GUGCUUCAGGAUGCCAUAGUUUUUUGUUUAAAUGGUUCCAAAAAGAACAUUUAACAUCUGAAGAACCUUUCUGUUUAAAAAAAAAAAAGUUAUUUGUGGCGAAAGAAGGUUGUCCAGAUCAUAAAAAGUCCUCUAGAUUGGGUAAACCAUGGGUAAGAAAGUCUUGCAGUGUUUUCCUUGGUACAAACGCUGUAAAGACCUGGGUAAAAGCAGGCUGUGCCCUCCUCCACCUGUGCCAUCUGUUGAGGUGCAACCUGGCUUCUCUCCGACAGUCUCCUGGGGUUACGACGGAGAGGAAAGCGCCACACGUCCUGUCUAUUUUUCCCAUAAAGCACGAGUAGUUUAUCGCCACCAGAUGGAAGGCAAUAUUAUUGACGCCACCUGCUGACCUCUGGGCUUCUUUCCCAGAAUCUCUUGCCUUGUACCUGGCUGUAGACGUCCAGUGUAGAGGAGCGUUGUAGGAGCCUGUUCCAUCAUGUGUAAUCAAACUAAAUAUUUUGUAUUUAGUAAAGAUGUCACAGUGUUUCCUCUGGUUGCUCCACCCUCUUGCCAGACCAUUCACCUGUCUUGUUCUUACUGUGUUGAAAUAUAAUAUAAUGUUUCAAGGGAGACAGAGUGUGCAGGCCACAUGGAAUGGAAAAACAGGAACUGAGCUGGAUUUUUUAAAUACAAAUGUAAUGUAUAUGUGUUUUGUCGCGCAAAUCUGAUCCUGGAUGUAUGAUUGCCUGUUGUUUUUCAGACGACAAACCACAGUUGGUUUUUCAGAGGUUUAUGAAUGCAUUUCAGACAAAAGAAAACAUUUUGUACUAAUGACUGGAAUUAUAAUAUAAAAUGUAUGUACAUUUAGUAAUUAUCGUGAUAUAUUUUGAGUAUAAAAAGUAGUUUGAGUAUUGAAUAAAAUUGUUUAAAUAUAUAAACAUGUUUAUUUUUAAUAUUUGUCUCAUUUAAAUGUGAUGAAAUGUGUGUAAUUGUCAUACAAAACAAUUCCCUAUUUGUACAAAAAGGCUUUAUUUUCUUUGUGCAAAAUAUAAAUUCUUAUUUAUUUUGGCUUGGGAGCAAAAUAUGAACUAGACAUGUUAUUGACAGACUUCCCCACUAUUUAAUUUUCAGUUUGAGGGUGUUUUGCUACAUAAAUAGAUAUGCAAAGGACUAAAUCAGCCAUAUAAUUCAACUUUAAGACUAAUUAGGGCAAAAUAAAAGGCAGCUAUGGUGUACCCAUCUAUAAUAUGUCAUGUAAAAUAGCAAGUUUGAUAACAUACGAAAAUCUCACCAAACAAAAUCAUCUGUUUUUAUAUUGUACUAAUGAAAUUAUUAAAUUAUAUUAUCUGGAACAUGUUUAAUUUGUAUAACAUAUUUUUUUCUACCC